UUUAAUUGAACCUUUGUAAGAAGCGUCUCAUUGUACUGAGUAGAAAGGGAAAACUCCUUAAU
rnacentral:tRNA from 1 species